GAUGAACGCUGGCGGCGUGCCUAAUACAUGCAAGUCGAGCGAACAGAUAAGGAGCUUGCUCCUUUGACGUUAGCGGCGGACGGGUGAGUAACACGUGGGUAACCUACCUAUAAGACUGGAAUAACUCCGGGAAACCGGGGCUAAUGCCGGAUAACAUUUAGAACCGCAUGGUUCUAAAGUGAAAGAUGGUUUUGCUAUCACUUAUAGAUGGACCCGCGCCGUAUUAGCUAGUUGGUAAGGUAAUGGCUUACCAAGGCAACGAUACGUAGCCGACCUGGGAAGGUGAUCGGCCACACUGGAACUGAGACACGGUCCAGACUCCUACGGGAGGCAGCAGUAGGGAAUCUUCCGCAAUGGGCGAAAGCCUGACGGAGCAACGCCGCGUGAGUGAUGAAGGGUUUCGGCUCGUAAAACUCUGUUAUUAGGGAAGAACAAACGUGUAAGUAACUGUGCACGUCUUGACGGUACCUAAUCAGAAAGCCACGGCUAACUACGUGCCAGCCGCCGCCGUAA
rnacentral:rRNA from 1 species